CUCUUGGAAGCUCCCGUCUGUGAAGGGUGUGCACAGAGAGCUUCGGUAGCCUGCGAAGCAGCCAUCUUCACUUCCACGGAGCAGCAGAUGCUGGCCUGGGUGCUGGAAUGUGGAAAUGAGGAAGAUCCUGCCUGAGGAUUUCAUGACAGCAGAAACUCCCCACCUGUGAUAGAUGUGAGGCCUGAAGCCUCCCACGUACCCACGGCAGAUGCAACGCACAGCGGUGACCAAUGGUAGGGAUAACAAGUAUUAAACUGUCAUUAGGGUUAGGGAAACUGUCAUGAGAUCUGCAUAUUUUAGAUAGAGGCUGCUUGCCUUAGUUUGGGCACCUAAUGAAAAAGACAUGGAACAAAGGGAACUGCGUGGCUUGUUUCUACCUGAACAUUGUCAAGUGAUUUCAUCCUUUGAAACACAGGUGUGAAGUGUGUCCAGCAGUCUGAGAACAAGAAGAAGAAGAAAAUCUAAUCCUUCAGGGUGUUCCCAUGAUGUCACCACACUGCUAUAUGGAAAGGAACAUUAAUCGAGCACCUGAGAUGGAAUUCUACCUUUUAAGGUGGCUAAGCAACAGAAGGAUGUUCCUUUCCCAAGGGGGUGUUGGUUUCCUUUUUACAACUGCCCAAGUCAUGAGUUCAUAGGGCCUGGAUGGCUGUACCGGAUUGCUCUCCAGCUGGUCUCUCUGCAUCCAGAAAUUUCUACAACCUACUGGGGUAAAAUCUUUCUCAACCCUGCUUUUCAUCAUCACAUCUUAAAUACCUCGAGUUGGUUCCCUAUUGCCAAAAAAAAUCCAUUGUCCAUGUAGGGUUCUUCUGCCGAAACGAGGAAAGAGUGAGUUAAAUGUUGGUAGGUGAUGUAGAGAUAGUAAUUAGGCAAUGUAAUUAGAUGUUGUUGAAAGAGCUGAGCUAUGAAAUGCAUUGUGAUAAAGGGGCUGCCUAUGUAAGUAAAUGGGUAUAAUGAGGUGUAAAACUCCCUUUCUCUCUCUCUUUCUGCUUCAUAAGCCUUUCUGCUUCUCAAGUCCAGACCUGCUGUUUUUGGGGUUUCCUUCCAAUUUUUUUGCUGCUUCCCUGGGGCCUUGGCUCUUGGGCCUGCUGCCUCUUCCCACUACACCUUUGGAUUCCUUAUCUUUGGCUCUACCUUAUUGCUCCAUUCUCCAAAGACAAAUCUACAAGGCAUAGGAUUUUACAGAAUAUGGGGUUACAGAAACAGCAUAGGGAAGUGUAAAAGCCUAGAAGCUUCUUACAGACGCAGCCCCUUGUCUGUAGCUCCUGACUCCCACUUAAAUGUCUGUUGGAAGCACCCUGGGGUAGCAGAACCCAGCUCUGAAGAUGGGGCUUAUCCACCAUGCCUUUUCCUAACCUGACACCGGACACCUUGUGUUAUUUCACCUGUUUCCACCUGGUUCCCAAGUGGCAAGCUUGCAUUGAGGUUACAAAGUGGCAAAGCUGGGAUAUCACAUGAUGUCACCAUGAUGCUAUAUGAAAUGUAACAUUAAUUGAGUACCUAUGUGACCAGUUCUUUAAUUCUGUAAGUGGGGUGAGCUGCACUCAGCCUUCAUCUCAAGUCAGUUUGCCUCUUACUCCAAGAAGCCACAGUUGAUCCUGACCACAUCACAUAUGAGUUGCCUGGAUUGCAGUCAUUCAUUCACUAAGCAUCUUUUAGGAGGUCACAUGCCAGGCACCGUGUUAGGUAAUGAUUUCUCCAAGUCACAGGAGCCGUGGUUCUGACUUUAGAAAGUUUCUCAUCUGAUGGGAGGGCAGGCAAGUAAAUCAGUAAGGGUGGUCCCUGUCAGUGCAAAGUGACAGGGACUAGAGGCAUCUCCACUGGACCAGAGAGCUCUGGAUUCGUCUUGAGCUAAGUCUCUGGAGGUAGGUGUCAGCUACAAGGAGAAAAGCUGUAUAUUUUGAGAUAUGGGAUGCAGGGCCUUUUAGUUCCAUAAGUAAGAGAACUAUGGUGUGAAUACCACAUGCCCUGGGCUGAACUAAGUGGGCUCUCUGGCAUUUAAUGAAACCUAAAUAUUCUAGACCUUCUACUUGUUCCAUAAGUGCUCAGUCCUACACUCACUGUCCUCUGGCACCAAUAUACUGAUUACUCAUUUUAUGCCCAGCAGAGCACUGCGUGUUUUGAAAUAUACAAAUAGUGGGAAACGAAAUCUUUGUUCUGGAUGCAGUUAUAAUUUGGAAAGCGAGGAAAUAAAUUAUAACAAGGGGAAAAAACAGAAUUACAUCUUCCGUGCUGCUAGACACAGAGGGAUUGAAAUGCAUAACAAUAGAGAUGAAACACGAAGAGUGAUAAAUGAAGAUUGAGUGUGCACAUCUUCUGGAGGAGCUCUGAUUGAGUAUUUUAAAGAAAAAGUUAUAUUAGCAUGGUAAUAAAAUUAUGGAUAUGUGUAAACUCCACGAAGAGGCCUUGGCUAGCUGCACAUCUCCCUACAUGGGUAUGUCAAGAUCACCGACUCUGCUUACAGCAGUUCCCAGAUGAAACUCUUCAUAAUUUCAGACGCACCUUUAAUACCGGUGAAGGUUUACCUCCAGGCCCACAGUCUGGGUCUUUCCAGAGACACCCACAGCAAGAUGUCAUCUGCUUUUUGAUGUCAUCAGAGUCAAACACAAACACCCACCACUGUGGUUUCCAUGUCUAAUUCGCAAAUGGCUUUAACUUUGAGCUGGCCCACAAUGUUGUAUUAACCCCACUCAGGUAUCAUCUUUCUCCAUGGGUGAACCCAUAGUGACCUUUCCUUCUGAUUCUUCUUUUACUCUAAGGGCAUGAUUUUGGCAAACU
rnacentral:lncRNA from 1 species